rnacentral:lncRNA from 1 species
AACGCCCCACCACCAAGCCAUUACCACAAUACACCACCCUCACCACCAAUGGAGCAACCACCUCGAACUCCAUCAGGCCAUUACUAUAAUAAUCCACCACCACCAACAAAGAAUAUAUCACCAAGUACCCAUUAUGCACCACCUCCUCCCCCAUCUGUUCAUUAUGUUCCCACGCCUAGUCAUUCAUCGCCUCCACCGCCGCCACCUCAAGUUCAGUAUUUUCCACCCCCUUAUCCGUCAAGAGGGCAGCAAGCAAGUCCACCUCCACCACCAUCUCAUGAGCAUACGGGGACUCAAUCUCCACCUCCACCAGCAGAGUAUCAUCCACCUCCCAAGGAGUCAUGUCAUCCUAUCCCUCCUCCACCCCCACCAGAAUGCACAACUCCCGUACCAGCACCACCACCGCCAAGCCAACAUUCAACCCCAUCACCAUAUGCACCAGCACCUGGUCAUCACUAUUCAAAACCAUCCCCACCUCCUAAACAACAAUGGCAUUAUCCACCAUCCCCACAACAUCAAAACCCUUCUCCCCCACCCCCACCCCCGCC